UACGAAGGGGGCUAGCGUUGUUCGGAAUUACUGGGCGUAAAGCGCACGUAGGCGGAAUGUUAAGUCAGGGGUGAAAUCCCGGGGCUCAACCCCGGAACUGCCUUUGAUACUGGCAUUCUCGAGUCCGGAAGAGGUGAGUGGAAUUCCGAGUGUAGAGGUGAAAUUCGUAGAUAUUCGGGAGGAACACCAGUGGCGAAGGCGGCUCACUGGUCCGGUACUGACGCUGAGGUGCGAAAGCGUGGGGAGCAAACAGG
rnacentral:rRNA from 1 species